CCUACGGGUGGCAGCAGUGAGGAAUAUUGGUCAAUGGGCGGGAGCCUGAACCAGCCAAGUCGCGUGAGGGAAGACGGUCCUAUGGAUUGUAAACCUCUUUAGGCGGGGAGCAAUGCCGGGCACGCGUGCCCGGAGGGAGAGUACCCGCAGAAUAAGCAUCGGCUAACUCCGUGCCAGCCGCCGCGGUAAUACGGAGGAUGCGAGCGUUAUCCGGAUUUAUUGGGUUUAAAGGGUGUGUAGGCGGAUUUUUAAGUCAGCGGUAAAAUGUCCGGGCUCAACCCGGGCCGGCCGUUGAAACUGGGGAUCUUGAGUGGGCGAGAAGUAUGCGGAAUGCGUGGUGUAGCGGUGAAAUGCAUAGAUAUCACGCAGAACUCCGAUUGCGAAGGCAGCAUACCGGCGCCCGACUGACGCUGAGGCACGAAAGCGUGGGGAUCGAACAGGAUUAGAUACCCGAGUAGUC
rnacentral:rRNA from 1 species